rnacentral:rRNA from 1 species
CUGCGACGCUGCGGCGUGCCUAAUACAUGCAAGUCGAGCGAAUGAUGAAGAAGCUUGCUUCUUCUGAUUUAGCGGCGGACGGGUGAGUAACACGUGGGCAACCUACCUAGUAGAUUGGGAUAACUCCGGGAAACCGGGGCUAAUACCGAAUAAUCCAUUUUGUCACAUGGCAAAAUGCUGAAAGGCGGUUUCGGCUGUCACUACUAGAUGGGCCCGCGGUGCAUUAGCUAGUUGGUGGGGUAACGGCCUACCAAGGCAACGAUGCAUAGCCGACCUGAGAGGGUGAUCGGCCACAUUGGGACUGAGACACGGCCCAAACUCCUACGGGAGGCAGCAGUAGGGAAUCUUCCACAAUGGACGAAAGUCUGAUGGAGCAACGCCGCGUGAGUGAUGAAGGUUUUCGGAUCGUAAAACUCUGUUGUAAGGGAAGAACAAGUACGUUAGUAACUGAACGUACCUUGACGGUACCUUAUUAGAAAGCCACGGCUAACUACGUGCCAGCAGCCGCGGUAAUACGUAGGUGGCAAGCGUUGUCCGGAUUUAUUGGGCGUAAAGCGCGCGCAGGUGGUUUCUUAAGUCUGAUGUGAAAGCCCACGGCUCAACCGUGGAGGGUCAUUGGAAACUGGGAGACUUGAGUGCAGAAGAGGAAAGUGGAAUUCCAAGUGUAGCGGUGAAAUGCGUAGAGAUUUGGAGGAACACCAGUGGCGAAGGCGACUUUCUGGUCUGUAACUGACACUGAGGCGCGAAAGCGUGGGGAGCAAACAGGAUUAGAUACCCUGGUAGUCCACGCCGUAAACGAUGAGUGCUAAGUGUUAGGGGGUUUCCGCCCCUUAGUGCUGCAGCUAACGCAUUAAGCACUCCGCCUGGA